UACAGGGGGGGCAAGCGUUGUUCGGAAUUACUGGGCGUAAAGCGCACGUAGGCGGCUUUGCAAGUCAGAGGUGAAAGCCCGGGGCUCAACCCCGGAAUUGCCUUUGAGACUGCAUCGCUAGAAUUGUGGAGAGGUAAGUGGAAUUCCGAGUGUAGAGGUGGAAUUCGUAGAUAUUCGGAAGAACACCAGUGGCGAAGGCGACUUACUGGACACAUAUUGACGCUGAGGUGCGAAAGCGUGGGGAGCAAACAGG
rnacentral:rRNA from 1 species